rnacentral:rRNA from 1 species
UACGUAGGGGGCAAGCGUUGUCCGGAUUUCUUGGGCGUAAAGAGCUCGUAGGCGGUUUGGUAAGUCUGGUGUGAAAUCUCCACGCUCAACGUGGAGGGGCCACCCGAUACUGCCAUGACUGGAGUCCGGUAGAGGAGUGUGGAAUUCCCGGUGUAGCGGUGAAAUGCGCAGAUAUCGGGAGGAACACCCGUAGCGGAGGCGGCACUCUGGGCCGGUACUGACGCUGAGGAGCGAAAGCGUGGGGAGCGAACAGG